rnacentral:miRNA from 1 species
CUUCCAAAGUUUGCAAAUUUUGUAUACUUUUGUAUUGCAAUUUUCGCAUGCAAUACAAAAGUAUACAAAAUUUGCAAUCUUUGCAAGGUUAU